UUACCAGCUGUGUGUUAGACGAAACGAAAAUGCUUUGGUUUUGCACCGUGUUUUGAGACUGUCAGGGUGACAUGAUGGAUUAAUUGCUGUUUGACUGACAAUAAAUGAACAUGUUUGUGUUUGGAGAUAGCCAAGGUUAAUAUCUUCACAAUUGGGAAAUCCCAACAUAAGUUGACUGCCAGUUUGACCACUGAUCUACAUAAUAUCAGUGGGAGAGCAUGCUGAAUCCCGCAGCUUCUGCACCAUAUGUUUCCUGUCCGAAUAGUUGAAAGUUGCGACCACACAUUCCAUGGGUGAUGAUAUCUACCAAAAUUCUUGGCGGCACAGUUCUACCCUCGUCAGUUGCACUUGUCCGAGUCUUUCUCUGCCUCUCAACCAACUCGAGAUAUUCCCCCCCCAACUGCAUCCCGGCACAGCUUCACAUCAACCCAUCUAAUUAAUUUGUCGGAAAGGUUGACCACACAAAUUUCCUGUUUGGUUGUGGAGAUAGAAUCUUUUUUUUUUGUGAAAGUUUGAUUUCAGACACUUAAAAAUUGAAAUUGUCAUGUAUUAUUAGGCAUGGCAGGCAUUAGCAAAACAUCUCAAUCAAGUAUUAAUUAUUUUACUUUGUCAAUGUUAAUUCAUUGUGUAUGCUAUUCACCUGUUUGCCUUGCUUUUUAUAAGAAUGACACAAAAAAGGAAAGCAUUUGUAAAGUAUUAGUUAAUUUUUUUUUAUAUAAUCUUAGACGAGAUGUUUAGUGAAUAUUUGUCAUAAAUUCUUCUUUAACUUGAUCAAAUCUGUCAUAUUUUAUUUAAAACGUGUUAAGUAUAUUUGUGUUACGUUUUAAAUGUUUAUCAUGACUGUUUUAAAUUGUGUUCAUCUGCAGCCAAUGAAUGGUAGGCUAGCGGUGCACAUUUGUAUUUGUUUAAUUUUUUUCCAUUGAUUAAUGCUCAUUUAAUUUAUAUUUCCCUAUAGAUAUAUACUUAAUAAAGUGUUAGUUUUGUUUAAAAAACAACUUAUUGUUUAUUAAUGUUCUAACUUCUGAAUAAAAUAUGAAUCGCU